AGCGAACGCUGGCGGCGUGCUUAACACAUGCAAGUCGAACGAUGAAGCCCAGCUUGCUGGGUGGAUUAGUGGCGAACGGGUGAGUAACACGUGAGUAACCUGCCCUUAACUCUGGGAUAAGCCUGGGAAACUAGGUCUAAUACCGGAUAGGAGCGCCUACCGCAUGGUGGGUGUUGGAAAGAUUUAUCGGUUUUGGAUGGACUCGCGGCCUAUCAGCUUGUUGGUGAGGUAAUGGCUCACCAAGGCGACGACGGGUAGCCGGCCUGAGAGGGUGACCGGCCACACUGGGACUGAGACACGGCCCAGACUCCUACGGGAGGCAGCAGUGGGGAAUAUUGCACAAUGGGCGAAAGCCUGAUGCAGCGACGCCGCGUGAGGGAUGACGGCCUUCGGGUUGUAAACCUCUUUCAGUAGGGAAGAAGCGAAAGUGACGGUACCUGCAGAAGAAGCACCGGCUAACUACGUGCCAGCCGCCGCCGUAAGAC
rnacentral:rRNA from 1 species